ensembl:lncRNA
CUCUAUUACUCUUUAUUUCUGCUCUUUUCAAUUUGAGGAUGUUUUUCUAGCUAGACAAGAGCAGAAGAGAGCAGAGUUUGAAUAGAUCUGGCUUCUGCUAAUAUCAUGCCACAUUUUCUGAGAAUGGGAAUGUGGAAGAUGGUAAAUUUAGAGACAGAGAAGCCAGUAAUGGGAAAACAGGGUUGGUGAGGACUGAUUAGGUACAGGUGUAACACACAGAGACCAGGGAGGCCACGGCUGACCACAGAUGGAGGCAGGCAGCAAUGGAGUGCUACUACUGAAAAGCACUCCAAAGUGAUCCCGGGAUGUAUUUAUAGAAGGGUGACAUGCAACACCCAGGAAGCAAUCAUUAGGCUACAAUCUACAUUAGUCAGAUCUCUAUUGAAAAUGAUGCCCAUUUUGUCACGCUUUGAAUGUGAGAGCCCUGGAGGAGGGGGGAAUAUAAAGGGACAGGCAAUCAUUGCUUAGAGUAGAAGUGAAGGAAUCCGGACUGCUGAAAGCAACCACUGCUCCUGUCCCACCUACUUCCUGACGGCUCUAGCAAAGCUCGUACCAUGUAAGUUACCAUUUCCACAUGCCGGUUGGAGGGACUUCGAGAGCAAAGUGGUUGAGGAGAUUCAGGCUCAUCGCUGGAACCUCACACUGACCACAGCAGCCUGUGGCCUCUGUCUGAUUUCUGACUUGUUUUCCACCUAGAUGUUAAGCUUCAUUUAAUCUCUCCUGGAAAAAAAGGGAGAAAAGAAAAAGAAAGGCACACACAGGAGAAAGACCCUUGUCGGUAUCACGUACUGGGUUCUUGCAGGCCAAGGACUGCAAGUAUAAAGUCCUUGUGCCGGCUUUCCUCAUCUCUCCCCAAAAUAAAUUUCCAGAAAAAGAAAUAAAUAAAAGGACAGUGUAUUCCACCUGCAGCUGGAAAACUCGAGAAGCCAAGUCCCCAGAGGCUGAUGCUGUGGGCCAGAUGGUCCUUGCUUCCCCAUAGGAGCAUGGGCUCUGCUUGCUCUUUCUGGG